rnacentral:lncRNA from 1 species
CGUUGUCCGACUAACUCACCCCUUGUGGGCGUGUGUUGUCCGACUAACUCAACCCUUGUGGACGUAUGUUGUAGCGUUGUCCGACUAACUCACCCCUUGUGGACGUGCGUUGUCCGACUAACUCACCCCUUGUGGACGUGUGUUGUAGCACUAACUCACCCCUUGUGGACGUGCGUUGUCCGACUAACUCACCCCUUGUGGACGGUGGCGUUGUCCGACUAACUCACCCCUUGUGGACGUGAGUUGUCCGACUAACUCACCCCUUGUGGACGUGCGUUGU